UGUGGAAUUUUCCGCAAUGGGCGAAAGCCUGACGGAGCAAUACCGCGUGAGGGAGGAAGGCUUUUGGGUUGUAAACCUCUUUUCUUAGGGAAGAAGUUCUGACGGUACCUCAGGAAUCAGCAUCGGCUAACACCGUGCCAGCAGCCGCGGUAAUACGGAGGAUGCAAGCGUUAUCCGGAAUUAUUGGGCGUAAAGCGUCCGCAGGUGGCUCUUCAAGUCUGCUGUCAAAGACCAGAGCUCAACUCUGGGCAGGCGGUGGAAACUGGGGAGCUAGAGUACGGUAGGGGUAGAGGGAAUUCCCAGUGUAGCGGUGAAAUGCGUAGAGAUUGGGAAGAACACCAGUGGCGAAGGCGCUCUACUGGACCGAAACUGACACUCAGGGACGAAAGCUAGGGGAGCGAAUGGGAUUAGAUACCCCCGUAGUCA
rnacentral:rRNA from 1 species